rnacentral:rRNA from 1 species
AAACUGGGAUAGAUACCCCACUAUGCCUAGCCGUAAACUUUAAAUUACACCUCAAAUCGCCUGGGAACUACGAGCCAAGCUUAAAACCCAAAGGACUUGACGGUACCCCAAAUCCACCUAGAGGAGCCUGUCCUAUAAUCGAUAACCCCCGUUGAACCUCACCACUUCUUGUUUAUCAGCCUGUAUACCUCCGUCGCCAGCUUACCGCGUGAGCGCCACUAAGUGAGCUUAAUGCCCAUACGCCAAUACGUCAGGUCAAGGUGCAGCUAAUGAAGUGGAAAGAGAUGGGCUACACUUUCUACUAUAGAAAAAACGGAAGACUACCCAUGAAAUCUAGUCAAAAGGAGGAUUUAGUAGUAAAAAGAAAGCAUAGAGUUCUUUUUAAUCCGGCACUGGGGUGUGUACACACCGCCCGUCACCCUC